rnacentral:lncRNA from 10 species
AUACGUCUUGUGCUGCUGGGAGAGCUUACACUAUAGUCUGAACUUCUACAGAGCCUUUUCCUACUGUAAACCUCACUCAAAAAUGACAGCCUUCCAUUUCACAAGGUGGAAGCAGACUGAAAGCGUAGAGGGAGGUUAGUGAACUUCUUCUGGCCUGUUCAUCGGACCCUUGCAUUUAGAAAAUAACGGUGCCACACUGGAGAAGGAAAAGAUUCCCAGCUACUACGGAGGCUGAGGCAGGAGAAUUGCUCGAAUCCGGGAGGAGGUUGCAGUGAGCCGAGACUGAGCCAUUGCAUUCUAGUGUGGGCGACAGAGCAAGACUCUGCCUCAAAAGAAAAAAAAAAAAAAAAAGGAAGAGAUACUAUUGUGUUCUCUGAAUAUUUCUUUUGAAUCUUUCUUCUGAUCUGUUGCAUUCCAGGCAAACUCUCUGGACCAAAAGGGCAAGAAGCAGAAUUGAUGUCAACACACAGAUAAGGGUCCAACAAAGACAGUCAGUUGGUUUCAUACCUUCAAUAGGUUUCGGUACAAAAUGUGAUGAGGGCUUGGUUUUCUUCACUCUGUUCCCCUUCAUAAUUUGACCUUCUUUAUUGAGUCCCAGAAACCAAGCUCGGCCUGAUUCUUGCUGGCGGUACAGUGUGGAAGAAUAGAUCACAUAGUAGUUUUCAAACACAGAUUCCUUGAAUUUGCAUUCUGGAGUGAAAACAUCCUGUAGGAAAAAAAAAAAAAGACACAAAAAAGAGAAAUGAUUUAAAGGUGAAUCAGCAAAUGCUUAAAUCCAAUAAGCUUGAAAUCCAUGUCCUCUGUUAAGAACAAAUGAAAGGCAAUGACACAUAGUUUCUAUUAGCCUUUGGUUACAAAGAUUCAUCAUACAAAAUCAAAAAACAUGAUUGCCUUUCUAGCCAACCUUCAGCCCAGAGAUAAUAACUUGCUCAGGCUUGAAGCUACGUUAAAAUCAUUCAGGACUGUGGCCAAGUCUGCGCUCCGAUCCUAGCAAUAUGUUUUGUAAACUAAAGUGAUUGGCCAUUCCUCAUUUACUCACCCUUAACAUGUAAAUAAGGAACUAAAAUUUAUCCUGGAAAUCAAAAUCAAAUAUAACCACAGCAAACACAGGCACACAAGGUGCUUUUGAAGAGACUAUUCUGUAUAUACAAAUGUAUUACACAGCCACAGCUUGGUCAGGAAAAUCACCACUUUUCCUAAAGUCAGUAACUUCCUCUCUAAUUUCCUUAAAACAUUUUUUUCCUUAGUAAUCAAAAUCUCAGGUAAAAAGCCCAGGAAUAAUAGAAAAAAAUUACUAUUAUAUUGAAGAAAAUUACUAAUAGUAUUAAUUCCUAUUACUAUUGACCUCAGUGAAACACAGAAUGAGAGUUCUAGUCUCAGAAGAAACUGUAAGAUCCUGUACUUCAACUCCAGCAUUUGGUAAGUGAGAAAACCAAAAGGUCACGUGAUUAAUUCAAAUACACAUUUAAGAAACUACUGAGUCAAUGCCAGAGCUCACAUUCAUUGCUUCACAAUCACAGUCUCUCAGGCUCACCUUUUCUGCCUGAGUCUUGUUUAGUGACUUAUAAUGAGAUUUAAAAAUCAAUACAAUAAAAUCAUAUCCUAACAUGUCACAUGAACAAAAUGUAUUGUGUGGAAGGAAGAAAUUUCUCCCCUUCUGAGAUCAGCAGAAGAAAAACAAAUGCUAUUGCAUCUUCUUCAGCUGCAAUUAAACAGGAGUCCUACAUGUCAGACAUAUUCACCACAGUCACCAUCUUCCUCUCCAUGAACUGGAAGAAUUUCAGUGUGAGACUCCCAUGAUUUAAUGCAAGCAAACCUGGAAUUAAGUUAUUAAUGAAUAUAGGAAUAUUAAUGAAUAUAGGUUGGUUGAAGCCAUGUCCUUGUAGGUGAUACUCCCAUGCCAAUCUCCUUAUUUGUAGAGAGUGCUCUCUCUCUCUCUUUCUCUCCCUCUCUCCUUUUUUUUCUUUUUCUUUUUGUAAGAGGUGGGGUCUUGCUAUGUUGCAUAGGCUGGCCUCAAACUCCCGGGCCCAGAAGAUCCUCCCACAUCAGCCUCCCAAGUAGCUGGAACUACAGGUGUGUACCACUGCACCCAGCUUGUUUUUGAAUAGUUCCAACAUUAUAGACGAAGAAAAAUGAGACUAAGAAAACUGGAGUAGGCUGGGGUGUGGUAGCUUACCUCUGUAAUGCCAGCACUUCGGGAGGUUGAGGUAAGCAGAUCAUUUGAGGUCAGGAGUUCAAGACCAGCCUGGCCAACAUGGUGAAACCCCGUCUCUACUAAAAAUGCAAAAAUUAGCUGGGUGUGGUGGCAGAUGCCUGUAUUUCCAGCUACUCGGGAGGCUGAGGUGGGAGGAUGACUUGAACCAGGGAGGUGGAUGUUGCAGUGAGCAGAGAUUACACCCCACACUCCAGCUUGGGUGACACAGUGAAAUGGAUCUCAACCCCCCCUUCAAAAAAAAGUCCAAGAAAACACCCCCCAAAGAAAAUUGGAGUAGAAAGGUGGUUGUAGAUAGUAAGAUAAUAUGAAUAGCAAUAAAUUAAUAUUAUGUUUAUAUUAAUACUGAAAUAUGAUUUCUUAGAGUACUUUGAGUUUUAAGUAAAUGAACUACUAGCUUAAGAAUCAAAGAAACAAAUGACCAUGAGAUACUACUUCACAUCCACUAUAAAGGCUAUAGUUUAAAAAUGGACAUGACAAAGUGUUUAUGAGGAUGUGGAAAAACUGCAACUCACAUACAUUGCUGGUGGAAAUGUAAAAUUAUGCAGAAGCUGUGGAAAAUAGGUUGGCAGUGCCUCAAAAGGUUAAACAUACAGUUGCCACACAAUCCAAAAAUUCCACUUUUAGGUAUAGUUCUAAGAUUAAUGAAAACAUAUGUCCACACAAAAACUUGUGCACAAAUGUUCAUAGUGACAUCAUUCAUAAUGUGGAAACAACCCAAACAUCUAUCAAGUGAUGAAUGGAUAAAUACAGUGUGAUAGUUCUACAGAAUGCAACUGUAAUACCAUUCAAUUAUAAAAAAGAAUGAAAUACUGAUUUAUGUGGCAACAAGGAUGAACCUCAUACACAUUAUGUUAAGUGCAAGGAGCCAGAUAUAAAAGGCCACAUGUAUGAUUCCAUUUAUAUGAAAUGUCCAGAAUAAGCAAAUCCGGAGAUAGUAAGUACUGUAGUGAUUAUCAAGGGUUGGGGAAGGAGGUGAGAGGGAUAAGGGUGGAGUGACUGUUUUGUUGGAGGGAUGAAAUGUUCUGGGAUUAGAUACCGGUGAUGUUUGCAAAACUUUCUGAAUGUACCAAAAACCACUAAAGCAUGCAUACAUUUUUAAAAUGUAAAUUACGUGGCAUUCAAUUGAUAUCUCAAUGAAAAAAAAUCAGAUAAACCAGGUGAUUAAAGAAAGUGAGGGAAGGAAUGAAACUAUUGCACAUUCCUUGCCUGGCAGCACAGGGCUAUAUGAUAACCCAUGUGAAGGAAAACUGGCUCUUCGAAGGCCUUGUCUCAAUAUUGCCAGGACAGAGUUUAGUCAUUGCCAAGUAUAUGGAUAAAAGUAACUCAGAUUCAAUAUAGAUGAUAAUAUUAAGUUCUGUUUUUUUCCUAGGACUAAUAAAGUAUUUUUAAAAUGCUUAGAUUUAGGUCUGAAUUUUAAUUCAUUUUCUUUUAAAAACAAACUAAUUAAAAUAAUCCCAAAGCUUUUUAUUAUUUUUUUUUCUCGAUCUAGUCCAAUACUAGCAAACAGUAUUAACCCUAGAUGCUAUGCUAAGGAACUCUGGAAAGUUCAAGCAAUACAUUCAAUGUAUAAGAUUUCAGACUUUAUAAAGAAGUUAGGAAAAAAAUAAUUCCUGUUUUGUGUAAGUACAUAUCGUCAUAUAUGUAGAUGGUGAUAAAACCUUCUUCCUUAUGAAUGUACAUCACAGAAACAUGUAAAUUUGAAGAUAGAUAUAAAGCUGCUUAGUGAUGAUAGUACAAUUUGGCACCUUUAUCUAACAAGGUAACUAAAGCUCAUGACAGCGAAAUAAUUGUCCCCAGUGUCAUAGGAAGCUAGCGGCAGAUCCAGACCCUGUGUUGAACAACGGGCUCCUCGCUGCUGGUUCAGUACUUCUUCCAAUGCCACACAUUGCUUUCCUACUGCAUACGCAAUCCUGCUUUUGAUGCCAAGCUUGAUUUGGGCAAGCCUUACUCAUAUUAUAGAAACCAUAUCAGUGAUGUAUAAUUACUACAUUGUCAUUUAUACAUGAGAAAAACAACACUCUCAUUUAAUAAAUAACGAUUCUUAGGUUUCUGUUUCAUACUCAUUUAAAAUUCCCUCCCGGAACAGCAAAAAUCAGAGAUAUUGCACAGAAGCUGGAGUCCUGGGGUCCUGAGCCAGGAACCGCAUUAGGUAGGAACCGGGCUUUGAACUACUAAAUUGACAAAUGGGGGAUUUCUUGCACAGCAUCCAGGUCCUAAUCAGCAAUGAAAAGCCAAGUGGAGUUUUCCAUUCAGUAUAAUUCCAACAGGGCUAUGCAGAGUCAGAAUCUGAAAAUGAGGCAGCUAUUAAUACCUGACCAGGGCAAGACAUUUCCGGCUGGAAACAUGGCAGGAGUUUGCUGCAGGCACUUGUGUGGACACAGGCAGGCUACCCUAUAAACUGGACGGGAAAUCUUAAUGGCACUGAACCAGCUUGGAUAGUCAUUCUAAGUAGAACCUUUACAAUAUAUGUGCAGUUUCAGUUUCAAUAUGGAGUUGGGCAUCAAAGAAUUUACAUUGUAUUUGCUAUUAUGCCUCUUUUUUUUUUGUAAUGAGAAAUCAGAGCCCUACACGUGGAGUAAAAAAAAAAAAAAAAUCAGGGUUUUCCUUCUGGCUCCACACAUAUUAGCUGUGGAUUUUAGGUAAGUGAUUACAAUUCUCUAAAUUUCACAUUUUCAACUGUAAAUUGAGUUAUUUUAAGGAAAAUCAUGCAUAUGGACACAUGUUUUAAAUGUUUAGAAUUUAACAACCUCCAACUCAUUAUUCACUUUUCACAUAGCAGGAAAAAUGCAAUGAAUCCUAUAAUAAGGCACUCAAUUCUGGUUUUUGUCACAUGUUUAUAUCUGCUCCAACAUCUAGGACCUUGUGCCAUAAGAGUAGUUAAGGCAGGUUACAAAUAUAUAGACAUUUUAAAAAUAAUCUAAAGCUUUUGGUAAAGACUUAGACAAUCACAUAUAUUCAGAAGGGGUUCUGUGGUUAUAAAAUGUGUGUUCAGACUGACAAAAAAUCUAAUGUAUAACGGAAACAGGCAGGCUUGGGGUCAAAGGUGAUAAAAUCCCAGGCCACCUUGAUCCAGUGCAUAUAAUAGAAAGCAGAGUAAAUAAUCAGUAUAAUAAGGAUGAUUUUGUUUCUUUCGUAAGACUAACCAGUAGUCAUGUUGUAUCUCAUGAGUGUUUCUUUUUCCUAUAGUCUUGAGCCCUCAGUUCAAUGUAGGCAUCAGAGAAAACUUAUAGAAAUCUGCUGAAAUAGAAACACCCCCGUGUUCUAUUCUAUGUCAUGUGUGUAGAUAUGUGAAAUGAUAGGUCUAUUUUUCACAAUUAUUACUUUAAAACCUGCCCAUUCUUCAACUUCCACUCACUUUGACUUCAGCAGAAAAUGAAUAUUUUGAUAGUGUUCCGAAAUUAUUUUUGAAUGCUCCCUCUUUUAUCAGCAUUUGCAGAACUGAGUUUUUGUUCUAUCAUGGUAUAAGCCAAUAUUUGACCAAUUCUUUUUCACAUUCCAAAUACCUGUCCACCCUAGCCUUGCCUCAAAAGUUAAAAUCUCCAACUCAUUUUAAUCCAGAUGAUGAAUGAAUGCUGGAAUCCUACGUAAGCCCAACAUGAUCACUCAGGACCCCUUCUAGUCUCUCCCCAUCCCAUGGGAUUCCAACCUCCUCUCCCUAGAAUGCUCCCUGACCCCAGCUUCAUAGUUUCAUACUCUACCUUGAUUCCUCUCCAACACUGAAUUUCUUCCUGUUUCUUCUCCCUGCACAUAGACAACUGUCACACAGUUUCUGGCUUCUUAGGGUCUACCACUGCCCAGGAAAAGUCCUUUCCUCUCUAGUCAGCCUCUAACUGUGUCAGCUUUGGCCUUUCCCACCGCCCCCUCAUCUGAAUGGAAUUCCCCUUAAGAUAUAAACACCAUCAAGGAUAAAUAGACAGAAAUUUAGAGAUUUUAAUGAAUACUUGGAUAAAAUGCUGUAUCUUUUCAGGUUUGACUCCCACUGUCAACACUGUUUUCAUCACAUGCUAAUUUCUUGCAAUGCCCCCACUUCCUAACCCUCAAGCUGUGCUUUGCUCAAGCUGUUCUCUCUGUUUCUCUAUCAAAUAGGACCAUAACAGAUGCUCUUUCAAGACUCUUCAGGUUACAGCAAACUUUCCUUCCUUUUGCUUCUCAUAGCAUUUGAUAUUUCUUUUAGUAUUUAAUGUGUUCUGUCUUGAAUCACGAUGGUUUUUCUUGCUCCUAUAGCAGACAAUGUGAGCUUUAGUUCACAGGGACAUAAUCCUCUUCAAUGCUUUUUAUGAAGCCAAGCAAUUCAGCGCCCAGUUUAUUCUUGUUUAAAUAAAUGUAGCAAUAAUUUAAGUCAAGGAAACAGCAAAGGUUAUGUGGUGAGAUAGAACUGAUUGACAGUACUGAUUCAGUCCCUUUACCUGUAUGAACUUGGACAUGCUAUUUAAUUUUGUUAAAAAUCUCUUUUUCUAUUACAUUAAACUGGGAGCAAUAAUUCUCACAUUAAAAAUGUUUGAAGAUUAAGUAAAAUGACAAAAAUUACUUCCCAAAAAUCUUUGUCCUUCUUUCAAUAUCAAGUUUUUCCUACAUAAUUAGCUAACAGAUGAUGUAUGGUAAGUUUAAUAACAAAUAACAACCAUUCAUUUAUAGGUUGCAAGCAAAUUUUGUUCAAGAUGUAAAUAUAACAUUGUGGAUCACAUAAGUUAUUCAAGAAAAAAUAUUUUCCAUUCUGUCUCCAACUAACACAUUCCCCUUCUUAUUUUCUAUUCCACACCGUUAUAUUAUACAACGCCCAUGCUUACAUGUUUGAUUUACUAAUAAUGUUUGUAAAACUGUGUAAGUUAAAAGUAACCACUUACAAGGUCCUACAGAAUAAUUAUGUCAAGACAUCAAAUGAACAGAAUAGAAAAACAGAAUUGUCCAGGACACAUGGAGAAAUAAACAGUAAGUAUUUUCUGGAAAAUCAUUUGAAUUAUCUAAAUUUCUGAUUUGUCAUUCACUGACAAUUUUCUCCCUGACCUUUGGCACGCCAGUUAACCUCUCUGAGCCUCAACUUCCUCCACUGUACACUGAAGAUACGUUUACUAUACAGACUAGGAGCAUUGUAAUGAUCAAAUUAUUUAACAGAUAUGAAAGCUCUUUGAUAACUACAAAGGCCUAUAAAAUUAUUUGAGAUUAUUUCUUUUCACAGACAACUUUGAUAUUGUAACUUUAAAGGCUUCUACAUUUUAGUAUGACAUCUGCUCAGAAUAAAGUUCUUGAAAGGUAAAGAAUGUUAUGUGAUUCACUCAGAACCGCUUUUGCUCCCAUGAGCUUUACUUGCCAAAUGCAUGCUUUCCAACUCAAGUAGGAAUACAGCACUUGGUAGCACUGUAUAGUUAAUAUAAUUACACGAUACCAUAACCAUAAUUCAUCUUCACUCUGCUCUUUGCAGAUCCCUGUUUCCUCCUUACUGCUCUGGCUGAGAUAACCCAUGGGUGAAUGUACAGUCAAUGAGUGAAUGCUCGUUGUACUCAGCCACUGGUCUCCUUGCUGUUACUGAAACACAAUAAGCAUGUCCCAUUUCAAAUCCUUCACAAUCAAUAUUCCUUGUUCUUGAAAAUGUCUUCAGUAACAUAUUAACAUGGUUUGAUCUCUUAUUUCAUUCAGGUUACUGCUUAAAUGUAACUACCUCAGAGAAAGCUCCCUUGACUACCUUACAUAAUUUAGCACUACGGCCACUUUCUAACCCUUUACCUUGCUUUUGUUUUCCUUCAUAACUUGACCCUUUCUGGCAUUAUAACACAUAUGAAUUUGUUUAAGCUUCUUGAAAGUAGCUACCAUGAUUGCUAUAUUCUCUUCGUAUUCUCAACAGUUCUGGGAAUUAAACAACAAAUCGACUCCAACAAAAUAAUUUGGUGAAAAUACAUCAUAAAAUCUGAAUUUUUUCUUCCUGUAUAUCUCUAAGUUGUGAUCAAAUGGGAAAGGCCUCUUUCUUUCUUAGGCUCUCAGUUUCUCUAAAUGUAAAAAAGAAAUGCCAAAUUACACAAUCUCAAAUGUCACUUUUGUCUUACUUUAUAGCUAUAUUAUUCAUAUUAAAUACAUAAUGUAUUAAAAUUAAAGAGCCUAUAUAAAAUGUUGUUUCUUCAAAAAUAGAGCUUUCCUACCAAAGAAAUGGUGGUAAUAUAUUAUUAUUUAAUAAGCAAACAAAGAAAAAUUAAUCAGAGAAAUAGACUUUGCUAUUGUGUUAGUAAUUAUGACUAAUGACUCUCCAUAUGGUAUGUAGAAAUUAUUGAAUUUUCAAGCAUAUGCCAGAUAAAAAAGGGCCUCUGAUUUUGGUUCUAUCUUUCCCACUUAAAACCCCAAAUCUAAACUCUUUUUUUUUUCCAGAGGGAGUCUCGCUCUGUCACCCAGGCUGGAGUGCAGUGGCACGAUCUCGGCUCACUGCAACCUCCACCUCCCUGGUUCAAGCAAUUCCCCUGCCUCAGCCUCCUGAGUAGCUGAGAUUACAGGCGCCUGCCACCAUGCCUUAAUUUUUUUGUAUUUUUAGUAGAGACAGGGUUUCACCCUGUUGGCCAGACGGGUCUCUAACUCCUGACCUCAGACAAUCCGUCCACCUUGGCCUCCCAAAGUGCUGGGAUUACAGGCAUAAGCCACUGCGCCAGGUCUAAACUCUUUUUAAUGUAUAUAACCACCUUCUCUGUUUGCUGUGCCACCUUGUGGAUUCAGUUUUGUGUAAGAAAGAAAGGAAUCAAAAACAACUGGGGAAUCUUCCAACACAAUUUAUAUCCAACAACUCCAGAGACAGAGUCCUUUCGGUUAUUCUCACUGGAUAUUUGGCUGUGAAGCUUCUGAUUUGCUAACUUCAUUAAUGGCCUUUAGAUGGAGAGAACUUGAAAAUCCUUGCUAUAAUAGCUGCUACUUUGCUAACUCUGUUGUCACGCAUAAUGAUAUUAAAUCAAGCAAGAGAAAUAUUGUUUUCCAUCCUGACAAGAGGCAAAGAAAAUGCCAAAUUACAUUAUCUCAAGUGAAUUUUUUUGAAAAAAAAAUUGGGAUUGCUUUGACUAGAACAAGUCUAAUUUUAUAACUUAAAAAAAACAACUCUGCAGAUACGGAAACCUUUGUCUACACACUUUUGAAAUAAUUUUUACUGGAAAACUACUGAGCUGAUUCCUCUAAAAAUAAAGGUUCUUUGUUAACACAUUCUUUGCAACAUCUGACAAGGAAACAAGGUAAAUUUAUACCAUCAUAAAAUAAUGCAACCUGUGACGUACUGGAAAUGUAAUGUUGGAGGUAGAUGGACACAACUACUCAAUACUCAAACCCUUGAUUUUUGACCUUGAGCAAGUUACUUAAUUUCUCUGAAACUCAGUUUCACAUCUGUAAGUUAAGGUUAAUUAUAUCAUCACUGUAAGGUUGAUUUUUUUUUUUUUUUUGAGACAGUCUUG